rnacentral:tRNA from 1 species
UAGAGGGUAGUAUAAAGAGUACGUAAAGCUGUUAACUUUUUGGUGUUAAUUUAAGUUGCCCCUUUAG